AGAUUUGUGCAGUGGCGAUAUCAUAACCAAUGAGGUUUAUCCGAGGUGCGAUUAUUUUUAGUUGAACUAAAAAAAACCCGAGAUAAAAGUCUUCGUUGAUUCAUAAGAACAAAAGUAAACAAAUGACACGCGAUAAAAAGC